rnacentral:rRNA from 1 species
UACGUAGGGAGCAAGCGUUGUCCGGAAUCAUUGGGCGUAAAGCGCGCGUAGGUGGCUCUGUAAGUCCGUUGUGAAAGUCAAAGGCUCAACCUUUGAAAGCCGAUGGAUACUGCAGAGCUAGAGUACGGAAGAGGCGAGUGGAAUUCCUGGUGUAGCGGUGGAAUGCGCAGAUAUCAGGAGGAACACCAAUAGCGAAGGCAGCUCGCUGGGACGUGACUGACGCUGAGACGCGAAAGCGUGGGGAGCAAACAGG